rnacentral:rRNA from 1 species
GACGAACGCUGGCGGCGCGCCUACUACAUGCAAGUAGGACGCAGUUGCGAACGGGUGAGUAACGCGUAGGUAAAUGCCUAUUAGAGGGGGAUAACUAUUGGAAACGAUAGCUAAUACCGCAUACUAGUAGAUGGACCUGCGUUGUAUUAGCUAGUAGGUAGGGUAAUGGCCUACCUAGGCGACGAUACAUAGCCGAACUGAGAGGGGGUACGGCCAAACUGGGACUGAGCAACGGCCCAGACUCCUACGGGAGGCAGCAGUAGUGAAGCGUCGGAAAUGGGGGGAACCCGGACCGAGCAACGCCGCGUGAGUGAAGAAGGUUUGCGGAUCGUAAAGCUCUGUUGUUAAGGAAGCGGUACUUAACCAGAAAGGGACGGCUAACUACGUACCAGCAGCCGCGGUAAUAC